GAUGAAUAACGCAGCGAAAUGCGAUAAGUAAUGUGAAUUGCAGAAUUCAGUGAAUCAUCGAAUCUUUGAACGCACAUUGCGCCCGCCAGUAUUCUGGCGGGCAUGCCUGUUCGAGCGUCAUUUCAACCAUCAAGCCCUGCUUGCGUUGGGGUCCUGCGGCUGCCCGCAGGCCCUGAAAACCAGUGGCGGGCUCGCUAGUCACACCGAGCGCAGUAAUACAUCUCGCUUUGGGCGUGCGGCGGGUUCUUGCCGUUAAACACCCCCUUUUUACCAAGGUUGACCUCGGAUCAGGUAGGAAUACCCGCUGAACUUAAGCAUAUCAAUAAGCGGAGGA
rnacentral:misc_RNA from 1 species